UGAGGCAGUGCCGAGACCACCCUUUGGCUUCCUCUCUCCCAGCUGUGCAUGCCUCUGAGGCUUCUCUGGUUUGGGGAUCAUUUGCCUCUGGCUUAUUUUAUGUUGCUGCCAUUAACCCUCAGCCUGCUUACAUCUGCUUCUUCACUUGCUUUGUUGAUUGGGCUUUUUUCCUUCCCCACAUCUUUUAUCAUCUUGGAGAAGGUGAAACAUACCUUGAAGACUAAAACUAAUUUGGGAAUAACUUUGAGAGAAGGUGUGUGGAGCUUGAGCUUUUGAAUGCCCAGUGUGGUGCUUUCAGACUGGGAGAGAUUAAAAAACAAAACAACAGCAAAACUUUUUAGGUCUUGUCCUCUGUGUGUCCAUCCCUAAAAGAUCAUUAGACCUUAAAAGUUUGUGAUCUUCUUGAAUUGAUUACUUCAUUGGGUUUGAAGUUUGGGAAUGUAAGGUUAAGAAAAAGUGAGUUUGCAUUAUAGUUGCAAGGAUUGAGGCUAUUUUUUUCAGAUCAACUAACUGAAAAGGAUGUGAGGUUAACCAACAGAUGAAUGACCAGAAAACUCUGCCCCUAAUCUCUCUUAAAAAUCAGAGGACACCUGGCCAUAUUCAUUUGGCCCUUCAAAGCACAGGCACUUUGUUAAACAGAGGCGAAAACAGACACAAGAUAGGAUGGAUGCAGGCAUAGGGAGGAGAGGCUUCUGAGAGAAGCUAGGGAGAAUGUGGCACCAUCCCAAAUACUUAAGUGAGGGGAAAUUGGUUCUGAAUGGAUUCAAGGAUGGAGGAGGUGGCCACUUUGAGGUCACUUUGAAGAUUAAAGGUGAGUAACAUUCGUGCACAUGGAGAGUGGGGAGGCAGAGGGAACGGAAGGGUCAUGGUCAGCAUUAUGAGGUCAUUAUGAAGUCAUAGAAGACCUUUCAGGAAUGCAGGUAGCUCAGUCCAGGGGCAUGGUCUGGUUACACAGGGCUAGGCAUUGGCCUCCAUCGGAUAUUGUAUUGGAACUUUCUGUUUAGCUAACUUGUCCAAGGACAUCUGCCAAGCCAGAGCAAUAGAGCUAAGACAGAGCCAGAUCCUUUUGGAACUGGGCAUAGGGAGAGGGAUGACGGGUUGAAGAGUUUUCCAGUCAUCAUAGGUGUUCCCACCCAGGCGGUCAGGUCUACCCAGGUGCUAUGACUCACUUUGUCAACUUGGAGGAUAUAAAGUGGCAUGUGAGGUGGGAGCCUCAAUAAGUCCUGCAGCUGUGUGUCUGGUGUUUGCCCUAGUGAGGGGCCAGCCACAUAGGGAGUUGUUUUCUCUUCAGAACAAUCCUAGUCUGUGCUAGUGUUCUGAGAUUGUGCACCCAUCCUGUUACCCCUCUGUUGUGGAGGUGAAGACCUACUGUGUUUCAAAGCCUCGCUGCAUCAAUAAGUGGUUCCCACAGAGGUUUUCUCCUCUAGGAAUGCAGAGAUGGGAUUGCAGUCCCCUGAGUAGAGAUAGUGGUGUCUCCAGAAAUGGGGAAUAAUGGAGACAAUGAUUUCUAGUAGAACUAGGUUAUGGUGAAGGGAGUGGACUAUGAUACCAAGUCCAUCACCCAUAGUCUCUGCCCAGCAGGAUCCCAGAGUUAGGGUCACAGUAAUUCUCUAGAAGAACAAUGCAUUUCUUCUCCCUGACUUGGGCACACUUUCCUUCCACCUGCUGUGGCUGCCAUUGGCCCAAGCCUGUACCACCUUUUGCUGAGCCCCAGGGAGAACAAGGUCCUCAGGUAUUUAGGAAGGGGGUCAUGCAGCCCCUGCUUUGAUCUUUGGCUGGCUGAAAUGCUGCCAAGCAGUCUGAAGCCUGGGCUAAUGGUAUCUAUACCCCCAGAUGCUCCCAGCACAUAUGACUGUCCCUCUGACUGCAGCAACAAUGUCCUGCCUGCUCUGCACCCUUGUGUCCAUAGCAAUGAAGCAGGUUCUCUCCUAUAUGGCCCCUGACCCCCUCCCCCUGUUCUGUGACAGGCACCCAAAGACCACACUGCUCCUGCACCACCAGCUGCUGAUGACAGCGUGUCACUUGGCCCUGUCCCUUCCCCAGGUCCUACUCUCCCUAGCCUGGAGUUACCUCAG
rnacentral:lncRNA from 1 species